rnacentral:lncRNA from 1 species
AUUAGGAUGGCUAAAAUCCCAAACACUGUUAACAUCAAAUGCUGACAAGACUGUGGGACAACAGCAACUCUCAUUCAGUAUUGACUCAUCUAUUGUAACAAUUUGUCCCAAUUUGUCCCAGCAUAUUUUAGUGAAUAAUUUAUUCUAUUCUCACUGAAAUCAAGUUUAGCCAUCAUAAUAAUGAAUUGUCCAUAUAUCUAAGUAUCUAUUUCUAGAUUUUCUAUUCUCUUUGAAAUACAUCUAUUCAAAUACUAGUACCAUACAUUUUAUUACUAUGAUUUUAAUAUAUUUUAUAUGUAGUAGGGAAAUCCCCUACUUCUUUAUUCUUUAGAUGAAACUAAAUAUUGAUAUACCAAAUUGUUACAAGAAAAAGAAUGCCCUGAGAACUUGAUUGUAAUAACAUUAAAUUUAUCAAAUAAUUGGGGGAUAAUUGACUUAAUCAUAAUUACAAGAGCUGUUUCAAAUCUUUUUAAGUACCAAACACAAUAAUAUUGUUGAAAUACAUUUGCCAUGUUUAUGAAAUUCUUAAUGUAAUAUUAUUUGUAAUGGUAAUAUUAGUAAUAGUUUGAUAUAUUAAUAAUUCAGUUGAUCUAAGCAUGCAUUCUUUCAUGAUGAUGAUUAUGGUCAAAAUAUGCCAAAUGUGUCUGUAAAUAUCAUGCAUAAUAUAAUCACUUAGCAAAUAAAUUGCUGAAAGAGAAGGAAAAACGUAGAGUUGGUUCUAAAGCUGUGGCAAUGUUGCUUUUAGUCAUAUGUUCUCAUUUACUCCAUUCCAGAAUGUUUAUGUGCUAUUGCAUAGUCCCUGGCGUGCCAUCUGUUCCUGCAGUCAAGACCAGUAAACUCAGGUAUGAGCCUUGCAAGAAGACAUACAUAUUUUGCUGAUUGCCAAGGGGAUAAUGCAUUGGGUAUAAGAAGAAGGAAAGUAGAGGAACCAAUUAAGAAAUAUUUACUACAAUUAAGAAGAGAUGAUAAUAACUUCGACCAAGGUGGAGGCUAUGAAGAUGGAGCAAUGCGAAUACAUGGAGACAUGUUUUUGAUGUAGACUCAGCAAGAAAUUCUAAUAUAUUAGAUUUUAUGUUUUGGGAGAAAAAGAGACAUCUCCAAGAUUAUGGCUUGAAUAGAUUGGGACUAAUAGUGAAACUUGAGAGUGAUCACAUAUGGAGAUGAAAGAUUGAAAGACCUCUCGCUGAACAUAAUAUAGAAGGUCUAAAAUACUCUCAAGUCCCCUCCAUCUCAAAAUGACAGCAGUAACAGUGAAAACUAAACAUAGCUGUACCAAGAGGAAAGGCCAUAUGAGGACAUAGCAAGAAGGUGGCUGUAUACAAGUCAGGAAAAGAGGCUUCAACAGAAACCCACUCUGACCAAGCAUCUUGAACUUGGACUUCAUAAUUACAUUUUGGCUGAAUGGAAACUUGCCUAAUAUCUUUAAAAGAAGAAAUACAUGAUUAACUUCAUCAUCUGGUAGAAAAAGAUUCUGAAAGGUAGACAAUCUGUGGAGAAGAAAGUAAAGAAGUUGAGUCUUUAUGUGGCUAUUGCUUUGAAGACAAAGAAUAACGAAGAUUGAGCCCAGCAUCUUGCUAUUAAGGAAAAGGCCUGUGUAUCUUACUUCGCCCUCCUUGUGAGUUGCCACUUCCUGUUCAUCCUCCUAUCAACGUGAUAUAAACACCAAAAUAGACCAAAGUAAUUAUCUGGGGAAUGUCCAGAGGGUGUUUACCUUCAGAAAAUUAACAGCUUUGAGACUAAAUCGAUGACCCAGCAAGAAGGUUCUCAUCAGUGGCUGACCAGAUGCCAGAAACAUGCCAUUGGAGUGCCCAGCCUUCAGAACAGAAACAUGGCUGUAUAAGUAGAAAACUUUGAAGAAUUUGCUGUGGCAAGGACUUGCCUUCUCUCAGAUGAGACUUUGGACUGUGGACUUUUGUGUUAAUGCUGGAAUGAAUUAAGAUGUUGGGGGACUGUU